rnacentral:SRP_RNA from 1 species
CGACAGGCGUAGCCGGAGAGUUAGCUGUUCUCUGUAACUGCAAAUCAGCUUUAGGCAGGGCUAAGCUCUGAAGGCGAUUAAUGGGUUUGAUAGCAAGCUUAUAUCUUAUCUAAGAAGCCUCGCCUUAAGGGAUGUACUAGUUUGCGAACCGUGUCAGGCGGGGAACCGAGCAGCACUAAGCAAGCUAGUGCGUGCUCUUGAGAUACGGGGUGGAGAAAGGAUAAUAAGGACUGCUAUUAAAUCCAUUUUUCCACUUCAGGGCGUGCCUGUCA